AACCCUAAGCAAACAAAAAAAAAAAGAAAAGAAAAACAUGAAACGAAAGAAAGAGAGGGAGAAACAACACCAAAUUUCAUAAAUUUCUUGAUUCCCAAGCUUCUAACACAGAAAAAGCUACACUAAUUUCCUUACUUCAUCCGAAAUAAUUAUCGUCUCACUCAACUCACUAUUUCCCCUAAAUUUCUUCAAAAAAUGAGGAAAAUCAAGCUAAUUGGUUUCGCCUCUAAGUCUCUAACCCGCAUUUUCAAUUCGCGUGGGUUUCAUUGCAAUUCUAUUGAAGGAAAUCAACAAGCAUUAUUUUUAGCUCACAUUACAAGAUUUGGCAGCUAUAGAUAUGUUGCUGGGAUAAAUGGGAACCCAUUUGGUGAAGCAGUAUUUUCAGUUCCAUUAGCAAAGCGCUAUUUUCAUGCUACAGGGCCGUUGCGCUCGAGUGAACGGAAUUACUAUGAACUUUUGGGGGUGGCGAAAGAUGCCAGUCGUGAUGAGAUUAGAAACUCUUUCCAUGAGUUGGCGAAGAAGUAUCAUCCAGAUACGAAUAAGAAUAAUCCUUCUGCGAAGAGGAAGUUUCAAGAGAUAAGAGAUGCUUAUGAGACUCUGAGAGACUCUGAGAAAAGAGCGCAGUAUGACAUGAGCCUAAAUUUAGGUUCGGGCUAUGCAAGGCAAGAUUCUGGCAGCAGGGGUUCAGAGAAUGUACAUUAUGAUUUUGAUGCUGAGGCGUUUAGACGUGCUUAUAAAACCAACUUCUCAACCUCAUUCCAUAAAAUAUUUUCUGAGAUAUUUGAAGAUGAAAAGGAAAAUUUUGCAGCUGAUAUUCAGCUUGAGCUCUCGCUUUCUUUUUCCGAGGCAGCAAAAGGUUGCACAAAGGACCUGUCUUUUAAUGCACACCUCCCCUGUGAUUCCUGCCAUGGGCGUGGCUAUCCUAUUGAUGCAAAGGCUAGAAUUUGUCCAACAUGUGGUGGGAUUGGGAGGGUAACUAUUCCUCCAUUUUCGACCACCUGCAGCUCAUGUAAGGGAUCAGGAAGAGUUAUUACUGAAAAAUGUGGCUCCUGCAAAGGACAUGGGGUGCUUGAAGGUGUUAAGGAAGUUAGAGUUACGAUACCGGCUGGUGUGGAAUCUGGUGACACUAUCACUAUCCCUAAAGGUGGUAACUCUGGGGGACAAGGAGCGACAUCUGGAAAUGUGUACAUAAGAUUAGAGGUGGCUGAUGAUCCUACUUUUAGUAGAAUUGGUGCAGAUCUUUAUGUGGAUGCUAAUAUAAGCUUUAUACAGGCUAUACUUGGUGGUAAGGUUGAGGUACCAACGCUGACAGGAAAAAUUUCAUUGGAUAUACCCAAGGGAGUACAGCCAGGACAGGUUCAGGUGCUACGAGGGAAAGGAUUGGCAAAGCAUGGUUUUCUUGUCAGCCGGGGUGAUCAACAUGUUCGCUUCUGUAUAAACUUUCCCACGAAGGUAAAUGAACGCCAAAGAGCAAUACUGGAGGAGUUUGAGGAAGAGGAAAUUACUCGCGAAGAAGGUUCCUCUGAUGCAAGUUGAUAAAAGAUGGCGGGCUUCAGGCCAGGCCCAUGUGAUUGUGCAUCGUGGCGGGCCGAGAUGAAAAGUUCAAAAUAGGACCAGGCCCACGGGAUGUUGUGUCGGGCCGGGCCGUCGUGCAUAAGCCUAAUUUUACUAAAUUUAGCGUGUUUGUCGUGCCGUGCUUUUUCCAAAAAAUGCAGCCCAGGCCCGGCUCACGGCUUCAUGCUCGUGCCGGACCGUGCUUUUUUCGUGCCAGGAUCAGGAGGCCCGGCCCGGCCCACAACCAUCUUUAUCUGAGCUGCUCUGACAAAAUGAGGCCUCAAAGUUAUCUUCUAGUUUUCUAGGCUUCAUCAGCAGCUAUCUACUGGUUGAACUUUCAGGUGGCAGCAAAUUCUUGAACAUGGAAAUAGGCCAAAACUUAUGCUCGAGCUUUCGGUGCUCCUGUUGAUUCUACUACUCAUGAAGAAACUCUUGCUUUGAGGCUAGGUUGUGGACAUUCCUCCGCGCCAAAUAUUUAUCUGAUCACUGUCUUUACAACGUCAACCAGGAAUUUAAACUAGAGGUACACCAUUACUCUUCUGCUCUGACUAAGUCUACUCUGCAAUUGUGGAUACAAAAAACAGUUACUGUAUAGAAAUUUUGACAUUCUUUUGAAAGAAAUAAGAAAUAUAACUACAAAUAUACUCUUAGUUCAUCUUCACUGAAUUACUGGCAAUUGCUGGUGAUACGGUAAAGAGUAUUUCUAGCAUACAGGAAACUCUGUUAUACAGUUGUUGUAUGUGUUUAGUGUUGAAGAAGCGAACGUGACAGUAGUCAUGAAAGAAAUCCAUUUUGUUUCAAGUGUAGUAAUGGAUUCAGCAUUUUGUAAACAUAAACCUCUGAAAUUGGUGAAGCUAUAGAUUCGAGUGUUGCCUGUGUGGCUGCGUUAA